rnacentral:misc_RNA from 1 species
AACUUUUAGCAAUGGAUCACGUGGUUCUGGCAUCGAUGAAGAACGCAGCGAAAUGCGAUAAGUAAUGCGAAUUGCAGAAUCCGUGAGUAAUCGAAUCUUUGAACGCACAUUGCGCCAUUUGGUAUUCCGAAGGGCAUGCCUGUUCGAGCGUCAUUAUCACCCCUCAAGCCUCCGGCUUGGUGUUGGGCCUGGUUUUUCAGUAAACCGGUCUCAAAGAUAGUGACGGCGUCCCAGAUGGAACCGGUACGAGGAGCUUCUAAUCAAGCAUGUACGCGGCGUGAAUCUGUGUGCGGCGGUCUUUAACCACUACUCCUCGGAGUACUUUCUUAAGUGUUGACCUCGGAUCAGGUAGGGAUACCCGCUGAACUUAAGCAUAUCAAUAAGCGGAGGCU